AUUGAACGCUAGCGGGAUGCUUUACACAUGCAAGUCGAACGGCAGCGCGGACUUCGGUCUGGCGGCGAGUGGCGAACGGGUGAGUAAUGUAUCGGAACGUGCCCAGUAGCGGGGGAUAACUACGCGAAAGCGUAGCUAAUACCGCAUACGCCCUACGGGGGAAAGCAGGGGAUCGUAAGACCUUGCACUAUUGGAGCGGCCGAUAUCGGAUUAGCUAGUUGGUGAGGUAACGGCUCACCAAGGCGACGAUCCGUAGCUGGUGUGAGAGGACGACCAGCCACACUGGGACUGAGACACGGCCCAGACUCCUACGGGAGGCAGCAGUGGGGAAUUUUGGACAAUGGGGGCAACCCUGAUCCAGCCAUCCCGCGUGUGCGAUGAAGGCCUUCGGGUUGUAAAGCACUUUUGGCAGGAAAGAAACGUCGCGGGCUAAUACCCCGUGGAACUGACGGUACCUGCAGAAUAAGCACCGGCUAACUACGUG
rnacentral:rRNA from 1 species